rnacentral:tRNA from 1 species
GAGGGGGUCAUGUACUGAGCCUCUAGAUUGCUAAUCCCGCGGCCCCGCAGUUAGAAUCUGCGGCCCACUCA